rnacentral:lncRNA from 1 species
ACGUGACCCUCCAGAGGUACAUGCUCUGAGCAAACAUUAACUUGCUAAAUAUUUCCCAUGUGUAUAAUCUCACUGAAUCUUGCCCCUGGUUUUGAAAUAGCAGAAGGCCAUGGGGAUGAGUUUUCCCCUUACCUACUUGUGUGAGAACUUAGAAAACUUCUACCCUGGUAACCAUAGAAAUCCUCCUCCUCCUCCUCCUCCUCCUCCUCCUCCUCCUCCUCCUCCAGUAUGUGUCCUUUCUACUGCUGGACCUCCUUGGCUGGCUGGCUGCAGACAUCCACUUUAACUACCCAGUGACAGCUUCUCAGAUUUCGUGAGAGGUCGGAACCUCCGGUGACAUUGUGCUAUGUCUCCAUCUGUACUUUUAAUCUUUGUGUUCGUAUGAAAAUGUGUAUUUUGGGUGGUGAACUGUAAAGGGCCAUUUGGAGAGGCCCUGUUGACCCUGACCUUACAGUGAAGCUAUGGGUCUCCACUUGUUACACUCUAGGAAUGUACAGCAGUGGGCUUGGUCCUCUGAGCUUCCCUACUUGGGUGAGAAGCAAGCUUGGAGCUCUCCCUUCCCCACACUCUUCCUCUGGCGGGUUCUCUUGAGUCCCUUGCAUCAGGGAACAUAAGUUGGAACAGGGUGGUGGUUAGUUUUAGGUGUCAACUUGACACAAUGUAGAACAACCUGGGACCUGCUCAGUGAGAGAUUGUCUGCAUCACGUUGACUUCCGCCCUGACUGUGGGGAUCAUCUUGGCUAUGUUAACUGAUACAAGAAGAGGAGCCUCCAUGUGGACUGCACCACAUUCAUUCCCUUGAGUUCCGGUCUUGAAUUGUGUCAGCAGAGAAGUCAGCUUGAGUAGUAGGUGUGCACAGAUUCAUUCUCUCUGCUCGACUGUGGGUGGGACUAGUUGCUUCUCUAACUCGGAAUUGUGAAUUAAAAUAAACCCUUUCUCUCCU